UACGGAGGGUGCGAGCGUUGUCCGGAAUCAUUGGGCGUAAAGCGCGUGUAGGCGGCUUUGCAAGUCGGGUGUGAAAGCCCUCAGCUCAACUGAGGAAGUGCGCCCGAAACUGCAGAGCUUGAGUGCCGGAGAGGGUGGCGGAAUUCCCCAAGUAGAGGUGAAAUUCGUAGAUAUGGGGAGGAACACCGGUGGCGAAGGCGGCCACCUGGACGGUAACUGACGCUGAGACGCGAAAGCGUGGGGAGCAAACAGG
rnacentral:rRNA from 1 species